rnacentral:sRNA from 1 species
CCCAGUCGAAACCGAUGUCCCACAGGAGUGG